rnacentral:rRNA from 1 species
CACGUAGGGCGCAAGCGUUGUCCGGAAUUAUUGGGCGUAAAGAGCUCGUAGGCGGUCUGUUACGUCUGCUGUGAAAACCCGGGGCUUAACCCCUGGCUUGCAGUGGAUACGGACAGACUAGAGGUAGGUAGGGGAGAAUGGAAUUCCCGGUGUAGCGGUGAAAUGCGCAGAUAUCGGGAAGAACACCCGUGGCGAAGGCGGUUCUCUGGGACGGUACUGACGCUGAGACGCGAAAGCGUGGGGAGCGAACAGG